CUGAUGGACCAACUAACUCAAGGUGACUGAAAUUAGGCAGUCUGGAUCCUCCUAGUGUCUUCGGAGAGAAAGAAGCAUUUUCAGAUACAUCUCAGACAGUGCCAUGGAUUUAGGUCAAUAUCACUCUGAAAAUCAAGGAAGUUAAUUCACAUUUUCCAAUAUGCGGGAUAGGAGCAUAAGGCUUCCUGAAAGUCAGUAGGAUUUAGCCUCCUAAGUUGGGAAGAUGCUUUAGAAAUAGGGCUGGUUAUCACCUCCAUUUAGUACUUUAUCUUUGGUUUGGUCAUGCUGCAUUUUUGCUUGGACUAUUUGUCCUCCUAACAAAUAACCAAUUUAAAGUUAAUUACAAUUGAUCAGUCUUUUCUAAGCCUUCAGUUUUCACACUUUGCUGCACUGUAAAACUUGCCAAGGAAAAUGGUGUCAUAAUUGCAACAUUUUGCACCUUGACAUUAAGUGUAUAUUUCACUCAUGGCCAAUUUAAAAAUCAAAAUAGAAACUUCGUAAUAAUCUCCCUUUACAGUUUGGGUUAUGAGAAGCUGAGAAUUCCCUUAGGCUUGAUUGAUAAAACAUGGCAUUUAUCCUAUUCCUAGGAUGAUGUUCAGCAAACUUUAUGACAGAGGGAAACAGCUGGUAAAGUGGGUUCAUGGAAAGGUGAAGGUAAUAUAGACAUAAAAAACAAGAGGAUAAUGAUUUUAAAAGGGAUAAUAGUUGUAAUAACACCAUUAACCUUUUGCUUCAAAUUAUUGAAUGUGUGGUCUCUUCAGCAGGCUAAUCAAAGGUUUGCAUUAACUGCAAUGCACGAGGAAGUGGCAAUAUACAACCUGAGGUGAUUUUUUUCCCUCUUCCAAUUAUUCGCUAUCCAACCCUUACUGGGGAAAAAAAAAAGAGGAAAAAACCAGCCCUUUGGCUGUUGAAGACCCCUUCCCAUUUUGAAAUGAAGCUGACCUGCUUUCAGAAGAAACAAGCUCCAGCUUCCUUUCUGCUUUGUAAGAGAUGGAUUUUGAUAGGGGAAAAAAAAAUAAUAUUAUGUUAUAGAUACAUAGAAAUUAAAGUCAAAGAUGUAAAUGUAUGGGGCAGACUCCCAGGAAGAGCCAGCCCCAAGCUGUGUGGUGGUGCCGUGUAGAGGGGAUGUCAGCAGAGGCCCAAGGGCAGGCAUACAGAGCUCUGCAUUGACAGGGUAGGCACAGCACUAGGGAGGUCUCAGGGCUUACUUGCCGUGUGUGCAGCUCCCUGCUACUCUGUGUAGGUCAGUUCUGGCAUCUAAACAGCUAAAUCAGGCUGGAACAGGAAAACUGCCUUUUUUACUUGUGUGCUACGUGCACAGAGUUGCCUUGCAGAGACAGACUAUGCUUUGACACUUUAUUCGCAUGCUAAAAGACAAACAUAUUGAUGGUGGAAAAUGGCCACAGAUGAUGGAAAAGCUCACAGUGACAUGAUGGAAUUGUUCAGGAAUUUGACUGGUUGGACAAAUCUGCACCAGUAUAUGAUUUUGCAGGUGGUGAUCUGUUUUGUUCACUUAAGGCAUCUAUCCCAGGUGCACGUCAGAGCACCUCUGUUCAGAAACCUCCCUUCUGUAUGCAGUCAGUGGAGAGAGAACCACCUGAGUCAGACACACAAAGCAAGAUUGUCUGACUGGCUUGCAGUGUGUCAUGUCAAUCUAGUAAGAAAGGAAUAAGUGUAAAAAGAAGUUUUCACUCUUCCUCACUGACAAAACCCCACACCGUUAACAGCCCCAUUCUGUUGUAAUCAGAAGAUGGUGAAAGACUUCAGGAGCCACGUGCCUUGAAUUUGAAUUAACCAGAUUGAAUUUAAAAUCAACACACUGAAAGGGCCUGAGAUAAGAAGUCAGAACAUUCAGAGGAAAUGAGAACUGUUCCAGGAACUAAAGGGUGAAGAUCACACAGCACAGGCUGACAUCCUCACUCAUGCUGUGACGGCUGCAACAAUGAGGAGCCAUGGGAUGAAUCAGGAACCAAAGCCAACUCAUUAUAGAGCAUCCAAAAGCUGAGACGUCUGAAGGAAACUACUGACGCUAUCCCUAUGCCGCUGGGAUGAGGAACCCACAGCACUGCACCGGUUCCGCAGCAGCACAGGCUGCCCUGCUCCACCCUUAGAAGCAAACAGACUCUGCUGCUCAUCGUGGUAGAGGAGCACGUGAACAUAAAAGCACAGACACAGCGUUUGGUUCAGCAGAGCCCCACAUCUCCGUGACUGUUCACUCCCCCCAGGAACUGCAUAUGCACAGAUUGGGCCCAGUAUGCUUCAUACGGGGUAACUGGAGCCGGAUAAGUGCCUGCAAUUUUGGGAGAGUGGGGAGAGGAGAGAAGUGGGAGUGUAUGAACCACUGACCUUAAUUAGAGGAGAUAAAAAUGUUGAAACAUGAUUCCUAAGAAAACCAAGGAAGGCCUCUAUUGUUGAGUGUUUCCACAUGGAUGCCACUGAGAAGAGGUCAAGUGCUUUCUAUAUACUUUAAGUAAACAGCAGAUUGUGAGCUCACAGUCUGGAUUUGAGCAGCCUCUGUGUUCUGCAAGAUAAUAAUUGAGUCUUAUGCACUUAAGGUUUGAUAUCUAUUGACAUUAUUACUUGAGAAUUGCCAGGAAACAGAGCGACAAUUAAGAGUAUAAAGUUUGCUAGUAAAGCUAUGCCUAAUGUCAUACAUGGCUAAUCCCAUGCUAGGAUGGUCUUGUACUCUAGGAGAGCAUCCAUGAUGGACUCCCUUAAAAAAGGGUCUCUGCUGUUGGUGGCUUUCCAUGGUAAAGACCUGUGUGCCUCCUCACAUCGUCAUUGUCAUGUAAACAAUGUACACAGCGCGCAGAAUUACAUCUGCUAAAUGAGGAAUGGGUUGUAUGUCAGGAGUAAAGUGCUCCAAAGAAGGUAGUUUACUUCCCUGUGGAGCGUAUCAAGCCAAGUUAAAAUGUUAACCCUAAAAUUCUUCUGUUCUUCUUUGCAGCUAUCCAGACUGAAGGUUAAGAAGAUUGAAUGUGGUGGCUUUGUUGCAAAACCAGCUCCAUUUCCCUACCUGGAAGUGGGACGACAGUGAAAUCAGAAAUUACAGCCUUACUUCCUAUCUGCAGAUUCAGCUGUAGUGUCAUUGCCCACAAUCACAGUAUCAUCAGAUAGCAGCAUUCAUCUCAGGUGCUCAGUAUCCCUUCCACACCCUGGAGAGACUAUGCCCUUAUUAAAGGUCUUAUUUAUAGACAGGGAAACUGAGGCAAUGAUCCACGUCCACAGAAAUCAGUGGCAGAUCUUCCACAGCUCCAACUAGACCCAGCAGACCUAGUAACUUCUCCAGGGAAGAGAGGGCAGGAGUGCUCUUAGGGGCAUGACUGCAAGCAGAUGAAUCCCUUGAAAUCUUCUGUCCACUCAGUGGGCUUCCCAUGCGGAUCUAAAAUACUAGGGAGCCAAAUUAUUUAAGGUGUAUUGCUGAGAGGAGGGAACGAGGCAUGAAACUUGGGAAGCUCAGUCCCAAAGACUCCUCUUAGAAGCCAAGCUGUAAUGCUUUAUACGCACCUGAAGCAAAAACUCCCUCUUCUCCUGUCUGCAUCUGCCUGUGAAAAGAGAACAGGCAGAGAGCUGAUUUGUGAACGCUUUCUUGCUAGAUUUGAAACCUCUGUCCUUGAUUGAAGUGGGGAAUGCAAUUGCACAAGUCAUUAAUAAUUACUGACAAACCAAAGUAGUAUUGGAACCCAGUAAAACCUCCUCCCACUAGGACUGAAUCCUGGAAAAGAGCCCUGGGAGCUCCAGCCUGUCUGCAUUUCCUAUUUUUUGGCGAAAUCUGUGUGGAACUGCUGGGUCUCCAAACCGUGCGCAUACUCAGAGUAGGGGAUGUCUGUACGUGCAGAUCAAGGGACGUGAACUUCAUCUACACAGACGGCAAAAAGCAGCUUGCAGUUACUUUAACAUGUGACCAGUCCCAAUUAUGGCUUCUUCCACAUGGCAUCAGCAUGCGAUGGAGGAUCUCACUCUUCUUUUGCCAGAGGCAAAUGAAUACAUUACCCAGCAGCGAGGCGUGGGGCAGCGGAUGCCUCACUCUGGGGUGAUUUGGAUUCCACGCUCGCGUGGGGGUGUGAGCCAACCUCAGAAGUCAUUUUCACUGAUGCUGACACAUAAGGCUUCCCUCAGAGACCUGUCUAUCAAACUGCAACAUGCUAUGCAGAAAAAUUAGAUUACUCAUGCUACAAUAAAGAAGAGGAAGAUGACAACAAUGAGAAAACAAACCCCAAACCUCAAAAUAUAACAGCUAUUUAUUGAAUGAAUAAAAAUCCUGACGAGGGGAAAGUACCCUAGAGACUAUUUUUUUCUCUAUUUUACCUCUUGCAACCUGUUUCAAGGAGAGCCAGUUGGAAAGACCCUAUUAAUUCAGACACUGCCUCUGGAAAAACCACCACUUCAUCAUGAUUGUCACAUUACUGUACUUGCGAAAUAUCAUCUUAAAUAGUCAUUAUGAUUUUGCUGCUGGUCUUGCUGCAGUUAGCAGCAGGAUUUCCUUUGGCUUUGGUAAAAGCAGGAUCAGGCCCCCUCUCUCUUUCUGUCUCUGAAUUGCAAAUGGAUUGCUCACGUGUCAGCUCGGUAACUAGGCAAAGUUCAGCAUGCUCAGUUCAAAGCAUGCAAGAUGAAGCUCAGGGCAUUUCACUCACAGUAUUUGCCAAGUUCCUCAGGUCUACAAAAGUGUUAAAGUGGUUUAAUACAAAAUCCAUAAGACAAACAUUAUGCAGCUAUGUGAACCCCUGUCCAAUAAAAUCUAUCUUUUUGGGAAAAAAAAAUACAAAGUAGUAAAACAUAUACUUAGUAAAGAAAAGAAAAGGCUGGGUGAAGCUUAGUAAAAUCCUAUAAAUCAGAAUGCUGAGAGCUUCAGGAAGGGUGAUUUAAAACAAAUCUGCAGCAGAACACACACAGACACACACACAGUCCCGAGCUGGAAACGGACCUGGACAAGUGCCGAGGUUAGAGCAUCUCAAGACAGCACUGCAGGAAUGGUUUUACAGUAUUAGAUAAUGGAAAGGUUUGGCCAAAGGCUGAUUUUUCUUCUCUAGUAAUAACAAACCUGUGCUGGGGCUUCUGCAGUAUUUGCUCCUUGAGUUACUCCCCAGGAACGCUAUUUGGGAAGGCUAAUUGAGAUUUUUAACUCCACCUGCCCUGAAUCAUCUUACAGUUGUACUGCUCGCAGCUGCAAAUUCUGUUUUACCUACUGUUAUCAUCUUAUAAGAAACCAGUUGUGUAUGGGCUUGAUUUGUGAAGCGGCUCCAGCCACUUCCCAUGGGGUUUAUGUUCCCCUCUUGAGCCUCUUUUCCAAAUAUUUCUUCCCAGAGAUAAGUUUUGGUUCCCAUCCAAAUGAAAAGAGGAGAACCGUAAGCUCUUCUGUGGCCCUGCGUCUUGCACAGCCUCAGAGGAGCUCGUGGCCUCCUGACCAGAGCCAAGAACAGAUGCAAGUUUGCAUUUCCCUGCUCAUUCUCCAGCUGUGUGAUGCUGCCAUGUGCAGUGGUGUGGAUCAACCCGGCUGCACCCUUUUAAGCCUGGUGAGGGGUUCUUUUGGAGUUUGGCUUCUUAGCAUAGGCAAGCAAUUUCAGCAUGACCACGCGGCAGGGAAGUACAUAGAAUUAUAGAUCUCUUUAAAACUGUCGGGAGCAAACAUGAUCAGAUCUGGUUCUUGAUCUCAUUACUGUCUAAAAGAUUUGGUUGGCAUUUUUAAAUGCCAUGAUUUAUGUUCAUCACCUUAACGCGGCCCUUGGAAGUGUAAACCCAGUAACUCUGUUAUUCUCCAGGGCAACUCUAAAGAAUCUGUUUGGAGAAUUCACACAACACUAUGUCUAUAUGAAGAUAUUAACAUGGAUUAAGACAAGUUGAUAGAUUUUAAACCAGGCUAUACAAUGAAAACCAGUGAGAGUAAAUCAAAUAGCUUUGCCUAACUACAGAAAGUGUUUGCAAAGCCCUGUAAGGUUUCCAUUUCCUAAAGCCACCUGCCAUCUCAAAUGGCCCUAAUCAGUCACAGAUGCUGGAUACCAACCUGCUAACCCUACGGCUUUGAGAGAAAAUAUUGCACUUUGUAAACUCAUUCUUGGGUAUUUCCUUAAUUUUUCUUAAACUAAACUUUUAUCCCCUAUUUUCCACUUAAAUGUAAUGAGUUAAAUCAACUCUGACAUUUUGCCCUGCUCACCUCCCAGUUGUGCUCAGCUGCUUCCCUACCUACUUCUUGAAACAUCUCAAGACCUCAGGUUUGGGGUUAUUUUUUCACUCCACAUCUCCUGGUGUUGAGCAGUCCUGUUAAAGGCACAGGUUUCACUAUUGCUGUAACCUAUUGCCAAUGGAAAAAUGAAUGUUUUUCUGCACUUAACGUUUAUCUCUACAACGAAGAUCUAUCAAAUACUGAGCUUUGCUGAACUACUGUGGAAACCCUUUUUAACCCCUCAAACAAUUAAACCCCCCCUAUCAAAUAAAAGUCCAUCCCUGAAGAAAUAAGCAUUUUAGAGGCCACAUCCAGCACCCACUGGAAUCAAACUGAAGAAUUUCACAGAUAAGGGAAGGUACCAAAACAGGCCCUGCUGCCAGAGACCAUCAGAUGCUGUUCUCAAGCAGAACAGGGGGUUGCCUUGGCUCUGGAAGGAGCCAUUACUCCACUUUAGCUCGUGAAGACAGACUGGGUGUGGGAGUUGUAAUGGAGGUAGGAAACAGACUGGAUUUUAUUAGUCUUCCAUCAUCUUUAAGAGAUCCCUAACCAGAUCAGGUUUCAGCCUCUUGCUCCACUCUUGUGUCAACCUUUGGUUCUGUUUUUGCUGGAGGAUAAGUUUCAUUAUAUUAAUAAGCAGCACAAGUGGUUCCAAUUGUGGAAGAACCACUCGGAGCUGUCAGAAAUGAUCAGAGGAGAAGUUUCAGCCUCUCCAUGAUCACAGCCUCUUCUUCUGGUGCCUCAGCUCAGCACCUCCCCAGUGCACUUCACGUUUUUAGCAGCCAUGACAAUAAUAAAAAGGCCGUUUACAUUUCAGCCAGGGGAGGUUAUUUUAAGGAAUUUAUUCUCUGAUCAUGGUAGUCCAUCAAUGCUCGGAAACCAGACGGUAAUGGGAGUAAUUGGGCUAACAUCCAAUCUACUGGCUGGGAGACUAGAUCUAGGCAUGCAUGUAAACUAUACAUCUUCAGUCUCCUACUGCAGUCAAAUUUCAAGCACAAGCAUCUUUAAUUAUGCCACUAAACCAGGAAGUUUAUAGCUAAGUUUAUAAUAUUUCUUAGGACAAAGAAAGAAGUAGUGAGAAAGACUCAGAACAAAACACGCCAAAAGCUGAGAGUGUUGGGUCCUUAUCAUAGAGUGAUCCAUUAGUGUUUACCAGCAAUAAGGCUCAGCAUUUGUCCCCCUCACAGCAUCCACCCAAAGGAAAGGGGUUUAGGUAGACAGAGUAAUUAAAGAACCCCUACAAGAGUGGAAAUAUUACCAGAUUAAUUUUGCAGAUAGGAAAAUGAAGCACAGAAAGAUUUAAAUUCAUCUGAGUUCAACAAACCAGACAGUACAAAGGAGAUGUCCUGACUCAUAACCCUGUGCUCCAACCACUACAAGAAGAUGGGUACCCAUGGGACAGGCAGAGAGCAGCUUUCAUGGUGCACAUCUCCACCAGCAUCCACUCCCUGGGCUGCAGGGCUGGGGUUUGGGUUCACAGAUGUACCAUGAAAGGACCGAGGAUCUCGCUGCUCCCUGACAGACUCCACCACUGCCCUGGGAGGAACUGAGCGAAGUUUAGUUUUCAGAUGAGAGUCACCCGGGACUAGUGACUGAAAUGUCAUCUGUGUGAUGGAACAAGAAAAAGAAGGGAGAAAUGUAAAAGGGAAUCUUUGUAGCCAGGACUACCUGACUCUCCCGCAGUAGGAGACACAGGAAUAGCGUUUCAUGUCAUGGAGAUGUAGUUAAAAUGCAGACUGCAUAUCCUUGUUCUCAGAAUUUGAGAGGUGGGGUUUAUGCAUGUGGACAAGCCAUCGUUCCUCCCUUUGAUCUACCACUUGAUGUAGAGGAAGGCUUUUAUGUGUUAGUCUCAUAUAAUGGAUAAUUUAGUCUGAAACCAGUUUGCAAAAGUCUUACACUUUGGGUACAUAUGCUUCAAUUAUUCUUGAAAGUACACAGGAAUAUUUCAUGCCAUUCACAUCUAUUUCAAGGGAAAAAAAAAUCAAACCCAGAAUUUUUGUUGAGCACCCAAACAGAUUUGUUCUCCUGAGGGAAGUUUGGGUUUUAAACGAAUUCUGCCAUUUUGUGAAUUAAUUGAAAGGUAGAAUGUAAUCUUUAAUUGGAGAAAUGUCAGUCAUUCAUUAACAUUACCUGGGGUGCCUCUACUGCUCUUUAGCUGCAUGUGUUUAUUCACUUUAUGAAUAAAACUACUUAACACAAAGAG